AACGAACGCUGGCGGCAGGUUUAACACAUGCAAGUCGAACGCAUCCUUCGGGGUGAGUGGCAGACGGGUGAGUAACGCGUGGGAACGUGCCCUUCAGUUCGGGAUAACCCAGGGAAACUUGGGCUAAUACCGGAUACGUGCGAGAGCAGAAAGAUUUAUCGCUGAAGGAUCGGCCCGCGUCUGAUUAGCUAGUUGGUGGGGUAAUGGCCCACCAAGGCGACGAUCAGUAGCUGGUCUGAGAGGAUGAUCAGCCACAUUGGGACUGAGACAAGGCCCAAACUCCGACGGGAGAGAGCAGUGAGGAAUAUUGCACAAUGGGCGCAAGCCUGAUCCAGCCAUGCCGCGUGAGUGAUGAAGGCCUUAGGGUUGUAAAGCUCUUUCGUCCGGGACGAUAAUGACGGUACCGGAAGAAGAAGCCCCGGCUAACUUCGUGCCAGCAGCCGCCGUAA
rnacentral:rRNA from 1 species